rnacentral:rRNA from 1 species
UUAGAGUUUGAUCCUGGCUCAGGAUGAACGCUAGCGAUAGGCUUAACACAUGCAAGUCGAGGGGCAGCAUGGUCUUAGCUUGCUAAGACUGAUGGCGACCGGCGCACGGGUGCGUAACGCGUAUGCAACUUGCCUCACAGAGGGGGAUAACCCGUCGAAAGACGGACUAAUACCGCGUACACUCUAUGUUAGGCAUCCAAUGUAGAGGAAAUGAAAUUCGCUGUGAGAUAGGCAUGCGUCCCAUUAGCUAGUUGGUGAGGUAACGGCCCACCAAGGCAACGAUCAGUAGGGGUUCUGAGAGGAAGGUCCCCCACAUUGGAACUGAGACACGGUCCAAACUCCUACGGGAGGCAGCAGUGAGGAAUAUUGGUCAAUGGACGGAAGUCUGAACCAGCCAAGUAGCGUGCAGGAAGACGGCCCUAUGGGUUGUAAACUGCUUUUGUAUGGGGAUAAAGUCAAUCACGUGUGAUUGUUUGCAGGUACCAUACGAAUAAGGACCGGCUAAUUCCGUGCCAGCAGCCGCGGUAAUACGGAAGGUUCGGGCGUUAUCCGGAUUUAUUGGGUUUAAAGGGAGCGUAGGCCGGAGAUUAAGUGUGUUGUGAAAUGUAGACGCUCAACGUCUGACUUGCAGCGCAUACUGGUUUCCUUGAGUACGCACAACGUUGGCGGAAUUCGUCGUGUAGCGGUGAAAUGCUUAGAUAUGACGAAGAACUCCGAUUGCGAAGGCAGCUGACGGGAGCGCAACUGACGCUGAAGCUCGAAGGUGCGGGUAUCGAACAGGAUUAGAUACCCUGGUAGUCCGCACAGU